rnacentral:rRNA from 1 species
GUGGGGUCAUCGGGGAACUCAGUGCCGGAGAGAAGUGUAAGUCGACACUGGGGAGUACGUCCGCAAGGAUGAAACUUAAAGGAAUUGGCGGGGGAGCACCGCAACGGGAGGAGCGUGCGGUUUAAUUGGAUUCAACACCGGAAAACUCACCAAGGGCGACUGUUACAUGAAAGCCAGGCUAAUGACCUUGCUUGAUUUUCAGAGACGUGGUGCAUGGCCGUCGUCAGUUCGUACCGUAAGGCGUUCUCUUAAGUGAGAUAACGAACGAGACCCUCACCGAUAAUUGCCAGUCCGAUCCCCGGAUCAGGGCGCACAUUAAUAGGGACCGCUGGAGCGUCAGCUUAGAGGAAGGAGAGGUCAACGGUAGGUCAGUAUGCCCCGAAUAAAAUUGGGCUACACGCGCGCUACAAAGGGCGGGACAAUGGGUUCCGACGCCGAGAGGUGGAGGCAAUCCCGAAACCCGUCCGUAGUUCGGAUUGAGGGUUGUAACUCACCUUCAUGAAGCUGGAUUCCGUAGUAAUCGCGAAUCAACAACUCGCGGUGAA